ACGAACGCUGGCGGCGUGCCUAAUACAUGCAAGUCGAACGCUUCUUUUUCCACCGGAGCUUGCUCCACCGGAAAAAGAGGAGUGGCGAACGGGUGAGUAACACGUGGGUAACCUGCCCAUCAGAAGGGGAUAACACUUGGAAACAGGUGCUAAUACCGUAUAACAAUCGAAACCGCAUGGUUUUGAUUUGAAAGGCGCUUUCGGGUGUCGCUGAUGGAUGGACCCGCGGUGCAUUAGCUAGUUGGUGAGGUAACGGCUCACCAAGGCGACGAUGCAUAGCCGACCUGAGAGGGUGAUCGGCCACAUUGGGACUGAGACACGGCCCAAACUCCUACGGGAGGCAGCAGUAGGGAAUCUUCGGCAAUGGACGAAAGUCUGACCGAGCAACGCCGCGUGAGUGAAGAAGGUUUUCGGAUCGUAAAACUCUGUUGUUAGAGAAGAACAAGGAUGAGAGUAACUGUUCAUCCCUUGACGGUAUCUAACCAGAAAGCCACGGCUAACUACGUGCCAGCAGCCGCGGUAAUACGUAGGUGGCAAGCGUUGUCCGGAUUUAUUGGGCGUAAAGCGAGCGCAGGCGGUUUCUUAAGUCUGAUGUGAAAGCCCCCGGCUCAACCGGGGAGGGUCAUUGGAAACUGGGAGACUUGAGUGCAGAAGAGGAGAGUGGAAUUCCAUGUGUAGCGGUGAAAUGCGUAGAUAUAUGGAGGAACACCAGUGGCGAAGGCGGCUCUCUGGUCUGUAACUGACGCUGAGGCUCGAAAGCGUGGGGAGCAAACAGGAUUAGAUACCCUGGUAGUCCACGCCGUAAACGAUGAGUGCUAAGUGUUGGAGGGUUUCCGCCCUUCAGUGCUGCAGCUAACGCAUUAAGCACUCCGCCUGGGGAGUACGACCGCAAGGUUGAAACUCAAAGGAAUUGACGGGGGCCCGCACAAGCGGUGGAGCAUGUGGUUUAAUUCGAAGCAACGCGAAGAACCUUACCAUGUCUUGAUAUUCUUUCACCACUCUAGAGCUUCACCCUCCCCUUCGGGGGCAAGGUGACAGGUGGUGCAUGGUUGUCGUCAGCUCGUGUCGUGAGAUGUUGGGUUAAGUCCCGCAACGAGCGCAACCCUUAUUGUUAGUUGCCAUCAUUUAGUUGGGCACUCUAGCAAGACUGCCGGUGACAAACCGGAGGAAGGUGGGGAUGACGUCAAAUCAUCAUGCCCCUUAUGACCUGGGCUACACACGUGCUACAAUGGGAAGUACAACGAGUCGCAAAGUCGCGAGGCUAAGCUAAUCUCUUAAAGCUUCUCUCAGUUCGGAUUGUAGGCUGCAACUCGCCUACAUGAAGCCGGAAUCGCUAGUAAUCGCGGAUCAGCACGCCGCGGUGAAUACGUUCCCGGGCCUUGUACACACCGCCCGUCACACCACGAGAGUUUGUAACACCCGAAGUCGGUGAGGUAACCUUUUGGAGCCAGCCGCCUAAGGUGGGAUAGAUGAUUGGGGUG
rnacentral:rRNA from 1 species